AGCGAACGCUGGCGGCGUGCCUAACACAUGCAAGUCGAACGUGAAAUGGGGCAACCCAAAGUAAAGUGGCGCACGGGUGAGUAACGCGUAGGUAAUCUACCUGAUUGUUCGGAAUAACCUGCCGAAAGGCGGGCUAAUACUGGAUAGAGCGAGGAACUCGUAAGGAGUUUUUCGGGAAAGGGGGCUCUUCAAAGAGCUCUCGCAGUCGGAUGAGCCUGCGUCUCAUUAGCUAGUUGGUGGGGUAAUGGCCCACCAAGGCUGUGAUGAGUAGCUGGUCUAAGAGGAUGAUCAGCCACACUGGAACUGAAACACGGUCCAGACUCCUACGGGAGGCAGCAGUGGGGGAAUCGUGCGCAAUGGACGAAAGUCUGAACCAGCCAUGCCGCGUGCAGGAAGAAGGCCUUCUGGGUUGUAAACUGCUUUUGCCAGGGGGAUAAAAUUUCCAUGCGUGGAAAACUGAAGGUACCUGGUGAAUAAGCCACGGCUAACUACGUGCCAGCAGCCGCGGUAA
rnacentral:rRNA from 1 species